CAUCUGAUUCAUAUUGAAAAAAAAAAAACGAAGAUAUUUGAUUUGAUCUUUCUUCCUAUAUGUAUAUAUGAAUCUGUUUCUGUUUAUACUAACAAAUUAUGUCAUCUAAUAAACAUGUCCAAUUACAUAAAACAUAAAAGACAAAGUAGACAAUUGUGAAAAGUGAAAUUAGAAAUUUAAUGUUUAAAGUAGAUAAAAGCUAAAAAAAUACAUACAUAUAGUUCAAGUUAUAUUUUGGGGAAUUAGUUUUACAAAGCAGCCAGGUGGACUUUACUGCCAAGAUCGAAGAAUUUUCAACAGAAACACACAAAAAAGCGUGUUGCUGUACAUCUGGGUUCCAACUUUUAACAUUUCGACAUAAAAAACCAAAAACCAAAAGGAAAAAAAAGGUUCCAGGCUGAAUUCAAAUGAAAAGUGGUAGAUGAAAUCCCUACUUAUACCAUGUCAAUGGACUUGCUUCCCAACAAAAUAUGAAGAUUUGGAUAAACACACACGAAGAUUCAAAACAACCAAGCACUCGGGUUUAUACUAGUUGCAUAGAUAGGACUCCAUUUGCAGAAAAGAUCACAGGAAGGGCUGAGAUUUAGAACCCUUUCCUGCUCUCUUUCAACCCAAAAGUUUUCCCAUGGUGAAAGGGAUUUCUCUGGUGUUCCAGUUUAUCAUAAAGCCAGCAGAAUACCGACAGGACUUAGAUAAAGCUAUCCAUCAAUUCACACAUGUAGGACUCGGGCAAUAACAAACAAUGGAUUGUCUGUCACAUUAAAGUCCGGAUAACUGAAAAGAAAUUGUUAAAUUGGCUCUGCUGCUGAAACCCUUGAUAACCUUCUCCUUGAGUGAUAGCUAGUGAAGAUGCUGAGGUUGCAGAAACAUUAGCAAUCAAUCUAUUGUAGCAGACUUGGCUGCUGCUGAAACUCUUGAUAACCUUCUCCUUGAGUGGUAGCUAGUGAAGAUGCUGAGGUUGCAGAAACAUUAGCAAUCAAUCUAUCAUAGCAGACUUGACCUCACGUGGAAGUGGAGGAAAGAGAAGUGAGAAGAGAUCAGGACUUUGAUUGAACAGGUGAUGAUCACACAGUGGAAGUCCGAUGUCACAUCUUGUCUUCAACAACUGCAGGACAACUUUAGCCGACUAGUUUAUAUAUAUACAUAUAUUAUGAGGUGUAAACAUAUU
rnacentral:lncRNA from 1 species